UACGUAGGGGGCAAGCGUUAUCCGGAAUCACUGGGCGUAAAGGGUGCGUAGGCGGCCCUGCAAGUCAGGGGUGAAAGGCUACGGCUCAACCGUAGUAAGCCUUUGAAACUGUAGGGCUUGAGUGCAGGAGAGGAGAGUGGAAUUCCUAGUGUAGCGGUGAAAUGCGUAGAUAUUAGGAGGAACACCAGUGGCGAAGGCGACUCUCUGGACUGUAACUGACGCUGAGGCACGAAAGCGUGGGGAGC
rnacentral:rRNA from 1 species